rnacentral:rRNA from 1 species
GGGGUGGACCUGGAGCGAAUCUCAGAAAUAACGUCUCAGUUCGGAUUGUAGUCUGCAACUCGACUACAUGAAGCUGGAAUCGCUAGUAAUCGCGGAUCAGAAUGCCGCGGUGAAUACGUUCCCGGGUCUUGUACACACCGCCCGUCACACCAUGGGAGUCGGGAAUGCCCGAAGCCAGUGACCCAAGCGAGAGCAGGGAGCUGUCGAAGGCAGGCCGGAUAACUGGGGUGAAGUCGUAACAAGGUACC